rnacentral:rRNA from 1 species
UUUUAUGGAGAGUUUGAUCCUGGCUCAGAGUGAACGCUGGCGGCGUGCCUAAUACAUGCAAGUCGAACGAUGAAGCUUCUAGCUUGCUAGAAUGCUGAUUAGUGGCGCACGGGUGAGUAACGCAUAGGUCAUGUGCCUCUUAGUUUGGGAUAGCCAUUGGAAACGAUGAUUAAUACCAGAUACUCCCUACGGGGGAAAGAUUUAUCGCUAAGAGAUCAGCCUAUGUCCUAUCAGCUUGUUGGUAAGGUAAUGGCUUACCAAGGCUAUGACGGGUAUCCGGCCUGAGAGGGUGAACGGACACACUGGAACUGAGACACGGUCCAGACUCCUACGGGAGGCAGCAGUAGGGAAUAUUGCUCAAUGGGGGAAACCCUGAAGCAGCAACGCCGCGUGGAGGAUGAAGGUUUUAGGAUUGUAAACUCCUUUUGUUAGAGAAGAUAAUGACGGUAUCUAACGAAUAAGCACCGGCUAACUCCGUGCCAGCAGCCGCGGUAAUACGGAGGGUGCAAGCGUUACUCGGAAUCACUGGGCGUAAAGAGCGCGUAGGCGGGAUAGUCAGUCAGGUGUGAAAUCCUAUGGCUUAACCAUAGAACUGCAUUUGAAACUACUAUUCUAGAGUGUGGGAGAGGUAGGUGGAAUUCUUGGUGUAGGGGUAAAAUCCGUAGAGAUCAAGAGGAAUACUCAUUGCGAAGGCGACCUGCUGGAACAUUACUGACGCUGAUUGCGCGAAAGCGUGGGGAGCAAACAGGAUUAGAUACCCUGGUAGUCCACGCCCUAAACGAUGGAUGCUAGUUGUUGGAGGGCUUAGUCUCUCCAGUAAUGCAGCUAACGCAUUAAGCAUCCCGCCUGGGGAGUACGGUCGCAAGAUUAAAACUCAAAGGAAUAGACGGGGACCCGCACAAGCGGUGGAGCAUGUGGUUUAAUUCGAGGAUACACGAAGAACCUUACCUAGGCUUGACAUUGAGAGAAUCCGCUAGAAAUAGUGGAGUGUCUGGCUUGCCAGACCUUGAAAACAGGUGCUGCACGGCUGUCGUCAGCUCGUGUCGUGAGAUGUUGGGUUAAGUCCCGCAACGAGCGCAACCCCCUUUCUUAGUUGCUAACAGGUUAUGCUGAGAACUCUAAGGAUACUGCCUCCGUAAGGAGGAGGAAGGUGGGGACGACGUCAAGUCAUCAUGGCCCUUACGCCUAGGGCUACACACGUGCUACAAUGGGGUGCACAAAGAGAAGCAAUACUGCGAAGUGGAGCCAAUCUUCAAAACGCCUCUCAGUUCGGAUUGUAGGCUGCAACUCGCCUGCAUGAAGCUGGAAUCGCUAGUAAUCGCAAAUCAGCCAUGUUGCGGUGAAUACGUUCCCGGGUCUUGUACUCACCGCCCGUCACACCAUGGGAGUUGUGUUUGCCUUAAGUCAGGAUGCUAAAUUAGCUACUGCCCACGGCACACACAGCGACUGGGGUGAAGUCGUAACAAGGUAACCGUAGGUGAACCUGCGGUUGGAUCACCUCCUUUCUAGA